GGGACUGCGACAGAAGGCUGGAACGAUGCUGAAAUACUGUUUGCUGCUAGAAAAUGACGAUGCAUUUUAGGUCUACGUAUUUGCUUCUCGUCUUCCUCCGACCUCUUCAGCGGCGGCGGCGGUCGUACGCUUGAUGACGACCCUCCGGUGCGCGAUAAAUCGAAAGGAAGUCACAAAAUGAACUGUGAUGUCUACAGAACUUUGCAAUGAAUCCAUACGGCUCGGGUCGGCAUUACGGGUAGAUUCUACGGCGUCAGCUACAUUGCAGUUUACUUCGUUAUAAUACCUAAGGAGAUUUCUUAACUUUUCGAACCACAAGUUCUAUUACAUGAUAAGUAUUAUGUUGCUAAGGAAAAUUAUUGCGUGUACAUUCUAAAACAGAAUAAACGAUGUAGUUUCAUAUGGUUAA